GACGAACGCUGGCGGCGUGCUUAACACAUGCAAGUCGAACGGAAAGGCCCUGCUUUUGUGGGGUGCUCGAGUGGCGAACGGGUGGGUAACACGUGAGUAACCUGCCCUUGACUUUGGGAUAACUUCAGGAAACUGGGGCUAAUACCGGAUAGGAGCUCCUGCUGCAUGGUGGGGGUUGGAGAGUUUCGGCGGUUGGGGAUGGACUCGCGGCUUAUCAGCUUGUUGGUGGGGUAGUGGCUUACCAAGGCUUUGACGGGUAGCCGGCCUGAGAGGGUGACCGGCCACAUUGGGACUUGGAUUAGGCCCAGACUCCUUCGGGGGGCAGCAGUGGGGAAUAAUGCAACAUGGGCGGAAGCCUGAUGCAGCAACGCCGGGGGGGGGAAGAAGGCCUUCGGGUUGUAAACCGCUUUCGCCUGUGACGAAGCGUGAGUGACGGUAAUGGGUAAAGAAGCACCGGCUAACUACGUG
rnacentral:rRNA from 1 species